UGAAAGUGGGUUUAUAUAUAUAGGGUGGUAAAUGUGGGAUCUUUAUGGAUAUUGAUGGAUGAAAAUUAAAAUGGAAGUUGGAAAGGUAAAUUGUAUGGUGGGAAGAUGAUAACUGUAGGAGCUUUUAUGGGGUUCAAGAGAGUUUUUGGAAGAGGAAAAAAUGGGUUUUGGAAGUUUGAAGGGCCAAAAAUGGUGAAUCAUUUGAAUCUACC
rnacentral:lncRNA from 1 species